GACGAACGCUGGCGGCGUGCCUAAUGCAUGCAAGUCGAGCGACGCAUACUUCAAUCGUAAGUGCGAGGUAUGACGGAGCGGCGAACGGGUGAGUAACACGUGAGCAACCUGCCCCGAAGACCGGGAUAGCCCGGGGAAACCCGGAUUAAUACCGGAUACCUUCACCAUUUCACAUGUUCUGGUGAAGAAAGGUCUUUGCGCUUCGGGAUGGGCUCGCGGCCUAUCAGCUAGUUGGAGGGGUAACGGCCCACCAAGGCAUCGACGGGUAGCUGGUCUGAGAGGACGAUCAGCCACACUGGGACUGAGACACGGCCCAGACUCCUACGGGUGGCAG
rnacentral:rRNA from 1 species